AGUUUCUCUUUCGAUUAAAAAUGUAAAAAAAUACGCAAAUCGGUUCAGAAAUCGCGAAGAUGUCAGUGUGCAUAGGUCGAAAAACAUAACUCCUUCUUUUCUGAAAGUCGGUUA